AACACUGUGCACCAGGGGCUUCCGGAAGUUCCUGGUGCACAAUGUUAAGGAACUGGAGGUGCUGCUGAUGUGCAACAAGUCUUACUGUGCAGAGAUUGCUC